rnacentral:rRNA from 1 species
UACGGGGGGGGCAAGCGUUGUUCGGAAUUACUGGGCGUAAAGGGCCAGUAGGCGGCCAACUAAGUCGGAUGUGAAAUCCCCAGGCUUAACCUGGGAACUGCAUCCGAUACUGGAUGGCUUGAAUUCGGGAGAGGGAUGCAGAAUUCCAGGUGUAGCGGUGAAAUGCGCAGAUAUCAGGAGGAACACCGGUGGCGAAGGCGGGUCUCUGGGCCGAUACUGACGCUGGAGGAGCGAAAGCGUGGGGAGCGAACAGG